CUUUUUCCAGCUUUCCAUGUAUAAUGAUUUCCAGCAGAAGGAUGAGGAAGCAGUGAUCUAUUUUGAUAUACGGUUUUCUGGACAUGAAAAUGAUACAUUGUAUACUUGGAUUCAGGAUUAAGAAUUCAAAUCUUGGUCCAGAAAUCAAGUCUAUAUUUUUUUUUUCUAAAAAUGUAAUCCAAAACAUUUUAUCUUAAAAAAUAAUUCCAAUUAAAAUCAAGUAUUCUUUAAUUUGUUUUCAGACCAGUCUUGGAAUGGAAAGUAACCAGCAUAAUUUAGUCCUUUUUUAAAAAGCAAGUAUAAAUGUUACUAAGCAGAAAAGAAAAUGCUCAUCUGCUUAAAACCAUCGUCUGAUGCAAUUUCCUGCUCUUCCAUUCUUACCUUUCAAUCAAGCUGCGCCCAUCAUUUUUGUAAGAAUGGCCUUUGACAAAUAUUCAGAAACUACAAUGAAUGCAAGGCUUACAAAGUAUGUAUCCAAUGUUGGUAAGUAUAUGGCUGCUGAAUUCUGGAUCCUGCUGCAUAGGUAAGUAAGGCAUCCAUAAGUUGGUUAUAGUUAUAUGUAGCUCUCCAGUGAUGACACAAGAAAUCAGUUUGGGAGAAAUUAUGAAUGAAAUCAUGUAUAAAUAAGUAGAAAUAAGAGGAACAAGUUCAAAAAUGUGACUUGGCCAUUCUGAGAUCAAAGCAAGAUUGAGAAUAGUGUCUGGUUGGUAUUUGUUUAGAAAAGACAUCUGUCUGUUUCAGCUACAUGGCCUAACUGUACGUCUUUUCAUGGCUACACUUAACAAAAAAAUGAAUAUAAAUGGAAAACAAUGAUUAAUUGGAUGGUAUAAGUGGAACUUUGAUAGAAUUAAUGAAAAAUCAAGGGAUAAUGAGGUGGCCUGAAUGUGAAACAGACAAGUCUUAAGAAUGGAUUUAUGGGCAAAUGGAAGAAAAGAAGUGAAAAAAUGAGAGGGAAGUCAAAUGACUGUAAGAAGUGAAAGUAUAAAAAUGAAUGGAAAGCAGAUGUGAGAAAAGAAAACAUGGAAGCUUCCUAGAACAGAGCAAAAAAAUUUUAUGGAGUGCCACAGAAGUGUGUGAAAGUAAAGACUCCUUUUUGAAUAAUGAGGUGAAAAAGGCUGCAGAUGAGGGAGGGAAACCUCAUAUACGAGAAUUAUUGUGCCAAAAAAGAAUAUGAGAGAAAGAAAUAGUGCAACUUAUAUGGAGGGAAAAUAUUUGCAAAAUGCAGUCAAAGAAAAAUAAAAGAAGCAACAGCAUGUUUAACAUGAGUGUGAAAACUGCAUAUGUGAUUGAUAAUUGGAAUAACAUACUUGAUUAAAGGCAGACUCAUUGGAUCCACAUAUACACUUGCCCAUGCAUUAUAACAUGCUAGGUUUUAGAAUAGAAUAGAUUUUUUUAUUGGCCAAGUGUGAUUGGACACACAAGGGAUUUGUCUUGGUGCAUAUGCUCUCAGUAUACAUAAAGGAAAAGGUACCUUUAUCAAGGUACAACACUUACAACACUUAAUGAUAGUCAUAGGCUACAAUUAAGCAAUCAGGAAACAAUCUAUUUCAGUAUAAAUCGUAAGGAUACAAGCAACAAAGUUACAGUCAUACAAUCAUACAGUUUUUGAGAAGAACAUGAUUGCACAGAAAGGCCAACGUCAGCUAAAGAAUUAGCAGCUUUGACUUCACAUUGUUCUGAACAGGUAAUAAUAAAUAGGCCAAGAUAAAGGAGAAGACUAAGAAAAUCAUGUUUAGAUGGAGAUGAGAUCCUAAAAAAGUCAGGAAAUUUAAAAUACAAAGACAAUGCAAGAAGCAGUGUAUGGAUGUGGUAGAAGGAAGAAUAAUAUGCAAGGUGCAGUGAGUGACAUAAAUGUAAAUUGGGCUGAGCUAUGUUUCCUUUUCUUCUUAUCACCUAUGUUUAAUACUUUGGAUUUUUUGUUCCAAACUCCUUUUUUGUGUCCUUCAUAAUCGGUGCGUAUUCCCUUAGGGAGAAGCAAAAUGGGUAUGUAUGUAUGUAUGUACAUUAUCCAAGUCAAAGAUGCAUAUCAGAAGAAUGAGAUCACCAGUCUGUCACUUGCACUUGAAAUAAAACAUUCAGAAAUUUGAAAGUGACGAUUGAUUAAUGCCUAGACAAGUUAUGCUUAUGUACGUCCAUAUAAACACAGAUAUACAAUGAGUGCUAAAUUCAGAAAAAAUGAUGGUGAUCUUGGCAGAAGUAAAUCCAGAUUUUCAGUGUGAAGACAGUUUCCCUUGGUUUGUGGGAUUUUUUUUUAGGUGUCUAUAAGACAGGACAGGACAAGAAUAAGUACUGUAAAUUAAUAAAAUUUUGCAAAAGAUUUUUCCACUCAUAUUAGUUUUUUUCCACUUCAUAUUAGUUGGAAGAGUGUAAUAGACAAAGCCUUGUCUUUUCAUCCUAUUCUUCACUUGGUGUACUUCUGUCCUAACAUCUGCAAAAUGUAUUUAGAGGCUUUGUCUAGUUUGAAUCAUUUAAACAGCCUGGGAUUAAAACUCCCACAUUCCAAUGAGUUGCAAUCACAAUGCAUCUGGACAACUUAAUAGAGAAAAUAACCUUAAAUUAAUCCUAAGCAAAGUGUACAGACACAUGGAUAUUUGAUUUCUCCAUCAAAAUUCCUCCAUAUAAUAUUUGUCAAUAUUAUUUCUACUGUACAAUCAGGGGCCCUGAAAUAGCUUAAUAUCAUAAUAGAAGGUGGACUAAUUCCGUCAUGAAUGUACUUCCCACCUCAAUGCACUUUUCACCUCAGAGCUGCCACACAUUUGCUCCGCUGAAUGCCCCCACUCUGCUCCUAUAGUCAGUACUAAUUAUAGCUACUAAUUCCUCUAGUAAGAUGGAUAUCAUGCUACAUGGUAAGAAGACAGUCUUUUCCAAUUUGCUGCCCAGAUUCUAAGUCAACUGGACCCUGAGAAUUCUAGAUGUCAUGAUCAGAUAUAACCAGUGGUGGGAUUCAGCCAGUUUGCGCCUAUUCGGGAGAACUGGUUGUUAACUUUCUAAGCAGUUUGGAGAACCGGUUGUUGGAAGAAAUCUUAUUUUGUUUUUCCCCACUUUACAGGGCUAAUCCUGUAAGGAAGGCAGGAAGGAAACCUUCUGGUGGUGUUUCUAGCCUAAUCUUUAUUGCCCUGCUUACAGAAACUGCCUCUUAUUACAUUGUAACAGCUAAGGCGAAGUGCCCAUCGACGUGAGUGAUGUUGAGUUGGCCACACCCACAGUCACAUGACCACAGAGCCACGCCCACCCAGCUGGUCAUUAGGGCAGAGAACCGGUUGUUAAAUUAUUUGAAUCUCACCACUGGAUAUAACCUGGAGGGCCCAAGUGGGAAAAUCUGAGUAAGAACUGUCCGACUGCUGAGAUGGAACUAGAAUGUUAAUGCAUUAUAGAGGUUGGCAGAAGCUGGGACAAGUAACGGGAGCUCACGACGCUACGCGACACUAGGGAUUUGAACCGCUGAACUGCCGACCUUUUGAUCGACAAGCUCAGCGUCUUAGCCACGGAGUCAUCGCAUCAGUCUAUAGGUCAUACUUAUUCCUGAGAGAAUGGAGAAAAUCUCUUCUGCUGACUCUGUAGUUCCCAGCUUAACACAUCCUGGUUAUUCAGAAAACUAAGCUUGAUGGAUAAACAGAUUAAAAGAAAACAUGGUACUUUGUUUCUACAUAUAACAACAGCAGCAAGACUCCUGUAAGCAGAAAUUGAAACUAUGGAGGAAUGGAUGGUGAAGUUAAUGGAAUUGGUUGCAUUGGCAAAACUAUUUUGAAUAAAAAAAUAUACUUUGUCUUUUAUUUCUAUCUGGAAACCAUUUUGGAUUUUUUGCUUGAAACUGAAAGAAAUGAAACUUUUUGGAAUUGAUAGUUAAAACUGUU